rnacentral:lncRNA from 1 species
GCCCAGGUUAGCUUCAAACACAUAGCAUCGCCAGCUUGUGCGCCAGGACAACCUGAUGGAGCCACCGAAGCUGGUGGGAAAGUGCUCUCAAUUUUUCCAUUUCACCUUCUGGGGAGCGAUGUAGCCAAUCACCCCUGACAUCACCCAGUCCCCAGGGACAGAGAGGGCCCUACGUUCCAUGGCCCCCCUUGGCGGGACGAAAGGGACCUGUAUCUGAGAGACAGCAGCCAAUCGGGUCCGCAGACUCGGGCCAGGUUCCCAUACCGUGCCCAACACCCAUCACUCCCCCACGGAGACUCAAGUUACUUUCAAUCUCCACAUCCCCAGUGCUUGCGGAAGAAAUCCGGCUAAGAGACAGAAAUGCGAAACGUAGAAAAGAUCCAAAUUUCCGGCAUCCAAUUAUAUACAAGCCUUGACUCGCCAGGCAUCCAAUCAGAGUAAUGGAUCCAACCAACUGGAGCAGGUAUCCAAUUAGGUAGGGCAGGGUUGCCAUGAUGACACGAGUCUCUCUAUAGGGCUCCCAGGGUCGCGGAGCUCUAGCGCUGAGCGCCCCCUGGCGAUUGGCAAGGCGCGGCCGUCUACUCCAGCAAGCGCGCGCUGGUCGAAGGCAGCCAGUAAGGCAGGGACAAGCCCCUGCGACGUCACUAGUCGCCAGCCGGCCGCCGCGGCCUGCGAGCUCGCGCGUGAGUUCGUGUGAGCUCCCGCCAGCC